AGCAUACGAACGUUUACGAAGAAUGUUCUUAAGGCCUACCCUGCCAAUGAUGCCAAACGCCAAUACAGGAUUUGGUGAUCAACCACUCAUUCAGAUGGUGGGAACAAAUCAAUAUAGGGUACAAAUUAAUAUUUCAAAUACAGUUCAGCUGCAACCAGCUAACCGAAGAAGGAGAAGAAUUUCCAUGCCUCUACCACCAUCUGUAGUUGAACAAUUACCAAUAAAUCAAGAAGUGCAACAAAAUGACAAUGAGGUAGAGGAACCAGGGCCUUCGCAAAUUCAGAGAGAGACGGAGGAAUAGAUUGAAAAGGUUCUUUUACCUGAGUGGAAAGAAAAAAGUUUAAUGACAGUUUCAGUUACUUUGGUACUCCUUUUUGGUAUUCUUUAUCUAAGGUUAUCACUGUUAAUUUUAUAGCUUUGUGACUUUAUGCAGUAUGUUUUCUUGUUCUUGUUAGUAAGUUUGGUUGUUAGGUGUCUUUAAUACAGUAUUCUAUGGAACUAAAUAGUGAGUUAGAAAAUUCAACAAUAAUGACUAAAAGUUGCUGAUGAAGUUUGGAGCCAUGUUGGAGACAGUGACUACUACCCAGCAGGAAGGUCCUCAGCUUGAGGAGCCUCCUGUUACACUGCCAGAUGCUCCUCCUACCCCACCAUCUUCUCUAGAGGAGGUCUCCGAACAGGUUGUUGAGUCAAAUGGAGUGUUGGAGGAGGAAACACUGGAGCCUACGUCUGAGACCCAACUGUGCCAGCCAGAUCCAGCCUUGGAGUCCCCCUUUGCACAGCUUGAGGAGCUGGUAGUACCUUGUGGGCUAGCAGUGGUGGACAAGCUGGAAGCUGAGGCUGAAGAACUUGAGGAGCAUCCUGAGUCAGAUGUCAGUCCCAUCUCUG